UAAGGGACUUUCUGAAGACCCCAGGGCUGACAUGCCCUGGGGAUGAUCCUGUCCAGCCAGGGCUACAAGGCGAGCUCCCACGGUCACUGUGGCUCUUCACCCUGCCAGCCUCUUCCACCUCUCUGGCUUGCGUGGCCCCGACCCUUCAGGGAUCAGCAGCAUUUCUGAGAUGCCGAGGGACAGGAAGACAGUAAGCCCAGUGCUGGGAGUCUUCCUGGAGUGAGUCACCAUGAAUUCUACAAACAAGGUAGAAAUGACAGUGGUGUUAUUGCCCCACAGUUGGGUAGACUCCCCCAAGAUCCAGAUGUGAUCAGCCCUGGUCCUAAUGAUAGACCGGCCCCUCUCCUACCACCCACGGAAGCUGCCUCAUCAUUGCCAUUAUCCACUUUCUCAACAGGAGAGACUUGAUACAGAAGGCACAGUCCCUGCCCUCAAAGAACCUGGGACAAGUUGGGGAGGUGUAACUGAGUUGGUAAAGAACCCCUGGGUGGUAGAGGAGAGUGAAUUCAUAGAUUCUGUAGAUAAACCCUAAGGAGUGACUGGUUGUCCCCCUGGGGCCAAGAGCUACUGCCUCCCUCCCGUCCUCCUUCUUUUGCACAGUUUUAUUGAGCAUAAUUGAUAUACAGUAAACUGCACACUUUGAUGGAUUUUUUACAUACGUCUGCCCUGUGAAACCAGCACCACAGUGGACAAUGACUAUCUCCAUCACUCAUUUCCUUGUACCCCUGGAAAUCCUUGCUUGCUGCCCUCCUGCCCCCAGUCAACCACUGAUCUGCUGUCAGUCACUAUGGAUUAGUUCACAUUUUCUAGAAUUGUAUGUAUGUAGAAUCAUGCAGUAUGUACACUUUUUUGGGUCUGUCUUCUUUCACUCAAUGUCAUUGUUUUAAGACUCAUCCAUAUCAUUGUAUAAACAGUUUGUUCCUUUCUAUUGCUGAGUAGUAUUCCAUUAUAUGAAUAUACCACAAUUUGUUUAUCCAUUCAUUAGUCAGUGGACUUUGAGUUCUUUCUAGUUUGGGGGCUAUUACGAAUAAAGUUGCUAUGACUGUUCACUCACAA